UACGUAGGGUGCGAGCGUUGUCCGGAAUUACUGGGCGUAAAGAGCUCGUAGGUGGUUUGUCGCGUUGUUCGUGAAAACUCACAGCUCAACUGUGGGCGUGCGGGCGAUACGGGCAGACUAGAGUACUGCAGGGGAGACUGGAAUUCCUGGUGUAGCGGUGGAAUGCGCAGAUAUCAGGAGGAACACCUGCGGCGAAGGCGGGUUGCUGGGCUGACACUGACGCUGAGGCGCGAAAGCUAGGGGAGCGAACGGG
rnacentral:rRNA from 1 species